ACCGGCUGUUCUGCAGGCGCUGCCGGCAGGUGCCACAUCCUCGGGGUGACAUCGUGUGGGCACCCCGGUGCUGGGAUGGAGCUGCCACAGGCCCCUCGUCCACCUCAGCCCACCCACCCCCUCACUGCUGCUGCUGGACCAGGGUGGGCUACCGUCCUCUGAGGCCGUGUGACAGGGAACUGGUGGGAGAAGAGUCGCUUUUAAGAUGACACGAACAGACCCACCUGACAUCCUGGUGUCCACAGUGUACCAAGACAUCAAGGUGGCGACAGCAGCCCCCGGGGAUUCCGUUGUCUGUCAGCCUCUGGCACAAUGUGACGCCUCCAUGUCCUCCUCCCUGUCUCGCGAGCAGCCCUUCAACAAGCGCCACUGUAGAAGUUUCGACUUCAUCGAGUCGCUGGAAGAGCUGGGCACCCCCCCGGCC